AACGUAGGUGGCAAGCGUUAUCCGGAAUUACUGGGCGUAAAGGGUGUGCAGGCGGGGAAGCAAGUGGUGUAUGAAAUCUCCCAGCUUAACUGGGAUAGGUUAUGCCAGACUGCUUUUCUAGAGGACGAGAGAGGGGGGUGGAAUUCCGGGUGUAAUGGUGAAAUGCGUAGAGAUCCGGAGGAACCCCAGAGGCGAAGGCGGCCCCCUGGCUCGUACCUGACGCUCAGCCACGAAAAGCAUGGGGGAGCGAACGGG
rnacentral:rRNA from 1 species